rnacentral:tRNA from 1 species
GCCGGAGUGGCGGAACUGGCAGACGCGGGAGAUUCAAAAUCUCCUGCCCGCAAGGGCGUGGGGGUUCGAAUCCCUCCUCCGGCA